GAUGCAGUUGUGCACCAGUAAGCAGAUUGUUCAUUGGACAGAAUGGCUCUACGAGAGGCAACACUUUUAGGAAUAAUUAUUGUAUUCUCAGGCCACAUUCACUCUGUGUUUACAACUCAAAAUGUAUGUAAGACGUAUGGCAGCGGCAUCUUUUAUACAUUCAACAAAACGGCAUUUCAUCUAAAGACCACAUGUCCUGUAACGCUUACACGCUUCAGUCAUGCUGGAGUGGACUGUCAUAUCCUCGUCCAGCGUGGACCGAAUGGCCUGAUGGACAGAGUGGAGAUCAUUGUGAAUAAAAUCACGACCCUCGUUCACAAUAACACUGUGACAGUGGAAGGCAGCAGAAUUUCCCUUCCAUACGACCACACCUAUCAGCACGUGUUUCAUUAUGGAAUCUAUACCAGGCUGCAAAGCAAAGUUUUGCCAUUGUCUGUCACAUGGUACAGUGUAGCUGAUGGUGUCAGUUCACUUUGGAUGCAACUGAACCAGGAUUUAGUGGAGGGUAUGAGUGGACUCUGUGGGCACAAGAACAGCUCAGAAACUACGCAGCAGCUGGUAUUAACCAGUGUCUUCUCUGAUGACCAAUGCCUGACGCAAGACUCUGUUGCACAGACAAACACAGUUUGUAAAAAUCUUAUGUCCCAUGCUUACGAAUGUCUCGCUACGAAAUAUCAAACCUACCUGAAUCUGUGCUAUAAAAAUAUGAAUGGAUUAUGGCAUCGGGAAUCAAACUGCUCAUUUUUUAAAGAGCUCUCGCUUAUGUGCGGGAGCUCCAGUCCAGUGUGGUCAAUGUGGAGAUCAAAAAGCAGCUGCUCCCAGCCUAAUUGUCCUGGAGACCUGCACUAUGUAGAGAUGGGUCCCGCUUUCCCGCCAACCUGCAGCAACCCACAGAAUUACACCACAGAACUUACCAGCACCUGCCUACCUCCUGGAGGAAAGGUCCUGAAUGAUCGCGUUGAUGGUUACCAUUCCAUUUAUGUGGAGGAAUGUCCAUGUGUGCAUGCAAAGAUAAUGUAUGCACCAAGGCAGGAGCGCAAAACAAAGUGCCAGACCUGUACCUGCAUCAGAGGAAACUGGGCAUGUUCUGCAAACACAUGUCCAGCCAAGUGUAUUAUUGAGGGGCAGUUCAUCACUACAUUUGAUGGCAAACAGUAUUCUGUGCUAGACAAAUGCACCUUUGUGGCUGCAAGGGGGCUUAACUGGACAUUGAACAUUCAAUAUUCUGGGCAAGGUGUUGUCAUAGAAAAGGCAUAUCUUAAUAUCAACCAGGAAAGAUAUACCUUCUCUGCAAACAGCAUACAACUGAACAACAUAGAAAUCAGUGAUUUAUCACAGACUGAGUCUACCACAGUCUUUUGGCAGUCUUCAAUGUUCAUUCAAGUUCAGACUUCAUUUGGCCUGAAAAUGCAAGUUCAAGUCUCUCCAGAAAUUCAGAUAUAUUUGAAUUUGCCACCAACCGAAAACACUAAAGGUCUUUGUGGAACUUUUAAUAAUGACACAGGCGAUGACUUCACUACUUUUAGUGGCAUCAUAGAAAGUUCAGUUCAGCUUUUUGCCCAGUCCUGGUCAAUGGGCACUUGUACCCCAAUUACUGGAUGCAUCAACACUGACAAUGAGAUAUUUGCUGAGGAGAACUGUGACCAACUGAAAGAUCCAGAAGGAAUGUUUGCUGUGUGUCAUGAUUACGUACCUGUUUCGCCCUUUGUUGAGGCUUGUGUAAAAAAAACCUGUCAGUGCUCGACUGCAUUACAGGAAUGUUUAUGUGUCUCCUUUGGCAACUACGCAAAAGCCUGUGCAAUGCAGGGAAUCAAUGUUGGGGCCUGGAGAUCAGAAACAAACUGCAUUCCUUUGUGUAUGGGCAAUCUGAGGUUUGCUUAUGCCAUGUUGGCGUGUAACCAUACCUGCCGUUCCCUCUCGGGCCCUGAUCCGACCUGUGAGGUGCUGGAUGACCCUGUGGAGGGGUGUGGAUGCACAUCAGAUUCUCACCUGAGCAACCAACAGACCUGCAGCCCUCGUCCGCUGUGCAGCUGCCACCACCCCGGAGGUGACACACCUCCAGGUCCUGUGGUUAUCGGUGGACGCCAAUGCUUGUGUGAAAAUGGACAACUUCAUUGUCCUAAAGUUUGCAAUUGCACAGUGGGAAAGAUUUGUGUGGAUUGCGCACAAAUACCAGACUGCCCAUAGGACGUGUGAAAGCUUGACCAAACCUGUAAGUGAUUAUAACAGAUGUAUCAGUGGCUGUUAUUGUCCGGAUGGCCUUUUUGAAGAUCAUAACGGUGGUUGUGUGGCCCAUGAAAACUGCACCUGUGAAUUCAGUGGGAGCGUGUAUAAAACUGGCCAGAGCGUGGUGACCAACUGUAAAAUAUGCACAUGUAGAGGUGGUGAAUGGUCUUGUAUAGAUGAGGCAUGUUCAGGAGUAUGUGAGGUGUUUGGAAAUGGGCAGUAUCACACCUUUGACUCCAAAUGGUACAGAUACGAUGGCCACUGUCAGUACACCCUAGUGAAGGACGCUGGCUCAACUGGGAAGUUUGCAGUUAAAACUGAGAGUGUUCCUUGUUGUGACGAGUCUUUGACAUGUUCCCGCGCCAUCUCAGUGGAGCUCUUGGGUGCAGUGACUCUGAUGUUGAGCGACAUGAAGGUAACUGAGACUUCUCAUACAGGGGGUGCAUUGCUGGCAGAGCCCCUGUACUCCAUCCAAACUGUGGGCCUCUACAUCAUUAUUUCAGUUCCCAGUCUAGGGAUCACUGUAAUCUGGGACAAACAUACUAGGGUCACCAUCCAACUAGAGCCUCAGUGGAGGGGCCAAGUGUUGGGGCUUUGUGGGAACUUUGAUGGAAAGGUGACAAAUGACCUUCUGACAAGCAGCUCCUCAGAAGUUUUCAGUGUUUUGGACUUUGGGAAUAGUUGGAAGACAGCAACUCCGCCAUGCUCAGAUGUAACCCAUGAAACAUUUCCUUGUGAACGACACUCCUACUGUGCAGCCUGGGCCCAGCGGCGAUGUAUGAUCCUGAGAUCGGACACCUUUAUAGACUGCCAUUUGAAGGUAGAUCCAGAGCCUUAUUACCAAGCCUGUGUUUUGGAGUCCUGUUCUUGUGAGUUUGAGGGAAAGUUUCUUGGCUUUUGUACAGCUGUCUCAGCUUACGCAGAGGCAUGCAGUGCAAAGGACGUCUGCAUUAACUGGAGAACCCCAGAUUUGUGUCCGGUGUAUUGUGACUAUUACAAUGAAGUGGGCCAGUGCACCUGGCAUUACAAUCCCUGUGGCCAGGUUAAGACCUGUGGCACUAAUAACCACUUUACAGGAAAACUUGAAGGUUGCUACCCAAGAUGCCCUGAGGAGACCCCAUAUUAUGACAAAAACCUAGGAAAAUGCACCGCUUUGCACAACUGCACUUGUACCUUCAUGAAUAGAGUGUUGUUACCGCCUGAUGAAAUAUGUACUUCUUAUACAUGCUGUAAAUGCCUUAAUGGACAAAUGGUCUGCAAGCCUACAUUUACAACUACAACUACGACUACAAUUUAUUACACAUCGACAGCUCAUCCAUCUACAGCAAUAAUAACCCACACAGCCACAACGCAACCACCAACAACUCAGAGCACAACACAAUACAUAAAACCAACAACACAAUACACAACGAAAACAACAACCGAGAAGACAACAGAAUCUUCUACAACUCCAGUUAAAGCCACAACUACAACACAACUACCAACAGCUGUGAGCACCACAGAAUACAAAACCACAACAGAACCACCGACAUCAGAGAGAACAAGAGAAUACACAACCACAACACGUCCAUCAACAACUGAAAGUACAAAAGAAACAUACACAACUCCGAUGGAAGAAACAACCACAACACAACCACCACCAACUGAGAGCACAACAGAACACCAAACCACAACACAUCCAUCAACAACUGAAAGUACAAAAGAAACAUACACAACUCCGAUGGAAGAAACAACCACAAUAAAACCACCACCAACUGAGAGCACAACAGAACACAAAACCACAACACGUCCACCAACAACUGAAAGUACAACAGAAACAUACACAACUCCGAUGGAAGAAACAACCACAACACAACCACCACCAACUGAGGGCACAACAGAACACAAAACCACAACACGUUCACCAACAACUGAAAGUACAACAGAAACAUACACAACUCCAAUGGAAGAAACAACCACAACACCACCACCACCAACUGAGAGCACAACAGAACACCAAACCACAACACAUCCAUCAACAACAAGAAAGUACAUCAGAAAAAUACACAACUCCGAUGGAAGAAAAACACCCACAAAACAUACACAACUCCAAUGGAAGAAACAACCACAACACAACCACCACCAACUGAGAGCACAACAGAACACCAAACCACAACACAUCCAUCAACAACUGAAAGUACAACAGAAACAUACACAACUCCAAUGGAAAGAAACAACCACAGCCCAACCACCACCAACUGAGAGCACAACAGAACAGAAAACCACAACACAUCCAUCAACAACUGAAAGUACAACAGAAACAUACACAACUCCAAUAGAAGAAACAACCACAGCACAACCACCACCAACUGAGAGCACAACAGAACAGAAAACCACAACACAUCCAUCAACAACUGAAAGUACAACAGAAACAUACACAACUCCGAUGGAAGAAACAACCACAACACAACCACCACCAACUGAGAGCACAACAGAACACAAAACCACAACACGACCACCAACAACUGAAAGUACAACAGAAACAUACACAACUCCGAUGGAAGAAACAACCACAGCACAACCACCACCAACUGAGAGCACAACAGAACAGAAAACCACAACACAUCCAUCAACAACUGAAAGUACAACAGAAACAUACACAACUCAGAUGGAAGAAACAACCACAGCACAACCACCACCAACUGAGAGCACAACAGAACACAUAACCACUACACGUCCAUCAACAACUGAAAGUACAAUAGAAACAUACACAACUCCAAUGGAAGACACAAUCACAACACAACCACCACCAACUGAGAGCACAACAGAACACAGAACCACAACAAGUCCAUCAACAACUGAAAGUACAAAAGAAACAUACACAACUCCAAUGGAAGAAACAACCACUGCACAGCCACCAACAACUGAGAGCACAACAGAACACAAAACCACAACACAUCCAUCAACAACUGAAAGUACAACAGAAACAUACAACACUCCGAUGGAAGAAACAACCACAGCACAACCACCACCAACUGAGAGCACAACAGAACACAAAACCACAACAAGUCCAUCAACAACUGAAAGUACAACAGAAACAUACACAACUCCGAUGGAAGAAACAACCACAGCACAGCCGCCACCAACUGAGAGCACAACAGAACACAUAACCACUACACGUCCACCAACAACUGAAAGUACAUCAGAAACAUACACAACUCCGAUGGAAGAAACAACCACAGCACAACCACCACCAACUGAGAGCACAACAGAACACAAAACCACAACACGUCCAUCAACAACUGAAAGUACAACAGAAACAUACACAACUCCGAUGGAAGAAACAACCACAACACAAUCACCCACCUCAGAAAGUACAACAGAAUACACAACACAACCACCAACAAGUGAGAGCACAACUCAACCAACCAUACCAACAAAACAAAACAAAACAACUGCAACUCAGCCGACUACUAAAGCCAUAACUUCAGUAAAAUAUAGCACUUCAGUGUCAACAGUAUCUACAACAGAAAUUAUAAUAGUCACUGGCUCUACUAUCACCAGUCCAACUCCAAAAUCACCUCAAGUAGUGAUUACAACAACUAAUCCUACAACAACAACCCCUUCUAUGACAUCUGUACUCAGUACCACUGAACACACAACUCCAGUGUGUGAGUGCAAAGAUGUGAUGCGAAAUCAAAGCUGGUUGUGUGGAGAGACUUGGAGAGAGUAUUGUGCUGAUAAAGCCUGUAAUGCUGGAGUGAUUGAGGUAAAAUCCAUUACCUGUCCAACAUCCACAAUCAGGACUGAUUGCCCUAGAGACAUGAAGUCUUUGGUCAGAGAUGAAGAGACUUGCUGUGAAAACUGGGAGUGUGACUGCCAGUGUCAGGUUUAUGGAGACCCUCACUACAUCUCCUUCCAGGGGAUUCCUUUUGACUUCAUGGAUAACUGCACCUACACUCUAGUGGAGGAGCGAGUACUGCAGCACAAUUUAAGCAUUACUGUAGACAACUACUACUGUGUGCCGGAAAUUGAUAAUUCCUGUUCUAGGGGAAUCACAUUAAAUUACCGGAAUGAUAUUGCCACACUUAUGGUAACAGAGGAGUUUACGGUAGAGUGUACUUUGAACCAGGAGAUUAUAAACCCACCACAUGAAGAUCAGGUCUUCAAGUUUGAAAACAGUGGUAGCCAGGUCUACAUCUACAUCAAGCCUAUUCGUUCCUAUGUUUCUCUUACACCUUUCAACAAUCUGUUAAUCAACCUAGCAAUGGAGUACUUCCACAACAACACCCAAGGACAGUGUGGUGUCUGUGGUGGGCAGUCGUGUAUAAGAAGAAACGGUGUAGUUGAAGAUGACAGCUGCUGUGAUAAGACUGCAUAUGACUGGGUUGUAGAAGACCCUCUGAAACCCUACUGCAAAUCUGUGCUCCCCAAUGUUCCUUGUGGCCCUCCAACUUCACCUUCACCUCAACCACCCUGCGAUCCUACAAUAUGUGACCUACUUCACCAUGAAGUGUUUGCGGAGUGUGGUAAAAGGAUCAGUCUUACGUCCGUAGAGAAGAAUUGCCGGUUUGACUACUGUUCAUACAAUAGUAGUGUUGGUGCCUGUUCCUCUCUGGAGUAUGCAGCAUCAGAGUGCAAAAGGUUUGGUAUUUGUGUGGACUGGAGAUACCUUACCAACGGCUCCUGUGAGAUCACAUGUCCGGAAGGAAUGAUGUACAACGAGUGUCGAAAGUCUCCAAAUGAUGUCUGUCGAGGCGGUGUUCGCAUGCCUGCAACCUCUGUGGUUGGUCUGAGAUCAGGCUGCUUUUGUCCAGAUGACCAGAUGCUCGCAGAAGAACACAAGCAAAUCUGUGUGUCUGAAUGCCCAACAUGUAAAGGGCCACUGGGUGAGCCCAUGCCGUCUAUAGUGGGGGCAGUAUGGGAAUCAAACUGUCACAUAUGCACAUGUAAUAACCAGACUAGAACUGAAGAGUGCAUACCCAAACCUCGAGAAUCCACCCCAGUCUGCAGCGCCUACUCCAUCGUGGUCUCUGACUGCUGUGACAAUCAGAUUUGCGUUGAGAAGAGUUGCGAGUACAAUGGAAAGACUUACAAGGUGGGUGAUCGGUGGACAGACCCUUCACGUCCGUGUGAGUCUUUCAGCUGUAGUCAGACAGGAACUGAAGUUGAGAAAACCAUGUGUCCCGUGCAAAUCUGUGCUGAGGAUUUACGAGUGUGGGAUGAACAUCAUUGCUGCUAUUCAUGUAAUGUUACAUGCAGUGCAAGACUGAUGAGAAUGAACCUUACACUUCCGACUGCACACAGGAAGUCGAGCUGCCCAUUUGUGAGGGCCAGUGUGAGACACAUAACAGGUGGAUUCAUACUAACAGCACACUUCAGCUUGAACAGAGUCACCAGUGCUGUAAAGAGAGAAAUUAUGAGAUGAGAGAAAUCACGCUGACUUGCAGUAAUAACUCUCUGACCCACUUCACAUACCGACAUGUCACAGGCUGUGAAUGCAGGGUUGAAGGUUAAGUUUACCUGACAUACAAAUGUAUGAAAAUGUUAGUUAAUGUUACAAAAGAUUAAUUUUGGUUUGUGUGAGUUGUAUAUGCUCAAUUUAUAAUUAGCUGCUGAUGUGUGGGAUGAUUUAGUUUUAAGCCAAACAAACACAUUUCUGCCAUUUAUGCUUUUCAUCAUGUUUUAAAGGGGUCAUAUGAUGUUGCUAAAAAGAAAAUCAUUUUGUGUAUUUGGUGUAGUGCAAUGUGUUUAUGCAGUCUAAGG